ensembl:snRNA U6 U6 spliceosomal RNA
AUGUUAGCUUCAGUAGCAUACAUACUAAAAUUGGAAUGAACAGAGAAGAUUAGCAUGAACCUUAUGCAAGGAAGACACACAAAUUUAUGAAGCAUUCCAUAUUUUG